ACGAACGCUGGCGGCGUGCUUAACCCAUGCAAGUCGAACGGUGAAGCGCCUUCCUUUUUGGUGGGUGUGGAUGAGUGGCGAACGGGUGAGUAACACGUGAGUAACCUGCCCCCUUCUUCUGGAUAACCGCAUGAAAGUGUGGCUAAUACGGGAUAUUCUGGGUCUGUCGCAUGAUGGGUCUGGGAAAGAUAUUGUUUCGGUGGGGGAUGGGCUCGCGGCCUAUCAGCUUGUUGGUGGGGUGAUGGCCUACCAAGGCGGUGACGGGUAGCCGGCCUGAGAGGGUGGACGGUCACACUGGGACUGAGACACGGCCAAGACUCCUACGGGAGGCAGCAGUGGGGACUAUUGCACAAUGGGCGCAAGCCUGAUGCAGCGACGCCGCGUGAGGGAUGGAGGCCUUCGGGUUGUGAACCUCUUUCGCCAGUGAAGCAGGCCUGCCUCGUUUGUGGGUGGGUUGACGGUAGCUGGAUAAGAAGCGCCGGCUAACUACGUG
rnacentral:rRNA from 1 species